AAAUUAUAAUCCGGCGAGGGGAAAGGCGGAGAGUUGUAGCUGGCCUCCAGGGGCAUGUGCACGCUCUCUUCCGGACCUUUCGCCGUAUGGGCGCGGGGCGACCCGCGUCUUCAUAUACCUCUUCGUGUAGAAAGUCUUUGAAUGUUUUACCAUCAUCGAGUCGCGACUUCUAGGAGACGCGAUUCUUUGAGAAAAAAGUUAUUACAACUUUCAGCAACGGAUCUCUUGGCUCUCGCAUCGAUGAAGAACGCAGCGAAUCGCGAUAUGUAAUGUGAAUUGCAGAUCUACAGUGAAUCAUCGAAUCUUUGAACGCACCUUGCGCUCCUCGGUGUUCCGAGGAGCAUGCCUGUUUGAGUGUCAGUAAAUUCUUCAACCCCUCUCGAUUUGCUUCGAGCGGGUGCUUGGAUGUUGGGGGCUGCCGGAGACACUGGAUUCGUCCAGGACUCGGGCUCCUCUUAAAUGAAUCGGCUCGCGGUCGACUUUCGACUUUUGCAUGACAAGGCCUUUUGGCGUGAUAAUGAUCGCCGUUCGCCGAAGUGCAAGACAGNAAUGGUCCCGUGCCUCUUAAUGCGUCGACGCCUCUUAGGGGCGUCUUUCCUCAUUGACGUUUUGACCUCAAAAUCAGGUAGGACNUACCCNGCUGAACUUAAGCAUAUCAAUAAGCGGGAGGAAAAGAAACUAACAAGGAUUCCCCUAGNUAACUGCGAGUGAACCGGGAAAAGCUCAAAUUUUUG
rnacentral:rRNA from 1 species